CUGUUACUGAAUAAAAAGAAUAACGGAAAGAGUCUUAUUCUUCCAACUGCAAGGAGGAAAAAACACGAGAUGGUAAGAAACUCCCCUCUGGAGAGAGGUCCUGGAAGCCCCUGCGGCAUCCGUCUGGGAGGAUGACGGACUGGGCAUGGCCCCAGCAGUGACGCUCAGCACCUGUGAACUGUGCGACUUUACUUCUUCCUUGGCACAGUGAGAGCUUGAGAGAGCGACCGCAUGAAGAAAAACAGUGCGUAACACACCAUGUGCCAUUUAGCCACUCCGAGUGGACGGUUCUGUGGUGAAAUAAAAUGUUUUUGAACAUUUGAAGCCUGAUGAAAAUCAAGAAAAACUAGACAACGUCUUAGGAAGAAUCUAGAAGUCCGUCUUCAGAGACCCAAGUACAAGUCAGAAGUUGGGAAUGUAAACCAAAAAGUAUGCGAAAUAAGUCUCAGUCAAUCUAGAAGUUUCGUCUUGCCAAGAAUAAGGAUGGGCCUGUGACCUAGUCUCGUGAGGUCCUAAGGACAUGUGUCCAAGGUGGUCAGGGCCCAGCCUGAUUUUAUGUGUUCUAGGGAAACAUGAGACUUCAGUCAAUCUAUGCAAGAUGUGCGUUGGUUUGUUCUGAAAAGGUGGGACAACUUGAAGAAGGGAAGGGGACUUCUAGGUCACAGGUAGAUGAGAGACAAAGGGGUGCAUUCCUUUGGGUUUCCGAUUAGCCUUUCACCAAAUAUGCAAUUUUCAAGAAUAGUCACUUAGUCUGGCUCAGUGAAACAAUACAGCAAAGGAGGCACUUGUCUCAUGUGAGCAGGGACUGUUGUGACAUUCCCUGGAAUAACGUCGUAGGAUGUUUAGCACCCUUGGCCUCUGCCCACUACAGCCAGUUGCACCCUCUCUCCCGUUAGGGCCACCAAAAUUGUCUCUAGGCAUUGCCAAAUGUUUCCAGAGCUGGAGGGAGGGCACACGCUCCCAGUGAAGAACCACCAGUGUCAGAUGAUCACGAAAGUCACAAAUGACAGUAAUAAAUGCUCUGUCGUCUUUCAUCCUUCUCCCACUGAGAGGCAAUGGGAUGACAAGAGGACACCGUCCAGAAUAGGAAUGAUGAGUUCGUCCCAGCUCUGUCCUUGCCGGUGAACCUCGAGCUCAUCGUGUCACCUCCUCAGGUCUCCAUUCCCUUAUUUUUAUAAUAAAGACAUAUCACUGUCAGCCAUUUACUGAAUGCCCGUUAUAUGCAAUAUGCAUGAGAGAGCCUUCCUAGGGGCGGCUCACAGUCAAGUAAAGCAGACAGACGUGAAGAAUAAUUGAAAGGAAAAGUUCUAGGUUGACAUGAGGGGUUCCCAUGCUGUGGCAGGGACUGUGGCAGAUGUGGGAACCCGUGGCUGACCUUGCACCCAGGUGGCUUGUGAACAUGUUUGCAUUCCAUGUGUACACUGCCACUGCAGGAGGCCAGGGCCAGCUUUCAGGAUUGGCACUGCCACCCGCCUUUGUGGGGCGGAGCUGCCAGUAACCCAGGCCUCCUCCCCGCACCCUCCCUCAGUAGAGAAGUCAUCCCAGCCUCUCAUCUUCUCAGUCCAUUUCACACCUUUUAGUCCCACGAGGCUACAACUGUGAGAAGGGCUCCUCAGUUACUCCGUGUAUCAACACAUAGUGGGUCAUCAAGACACCAUCCCCGUCCUACUGGGCUUUGACUGACAACUUUAAAAUGAUAAUUUAUGCCUGGGGAAAGUUCCAUAUUUCAAAACUCUCCUCUGUUUUGCCAAACGAGGUCAUUCCCUGAUCAACACAGGCCAAAGGUUCGCCCUGCAAGCAUUCCAAAGUCCUUCAACACCGUCAGGAAUGAGCAGUGCUCCAAGACUGAGAUAAAAGAGUUUCACUGCAAACCAUUUUUUCCCUUCUAAACAUAAAAAACAAAGACUAAUGUGUUCACUGCAGGCAAAGGCAAAAGUUGAAAAAGUGCGUUUUUAUAAUCAUUUCAUGGAAUGCAGCCAGAUUUUACAAGAGCCAUCCACUUCUCAGGUAAAUUCCUAACUCUUCAGUUUCCUAUGACCUGGUUUGUGGCUAGCCCAGACCUCAUGCUUUCCUUCAGCCUCUCCACCUUUAGCCCCUCCUACCACCCAGUGUGUCUUUGAGCAGGGGUUCCCAAUGCCCGGGGCACAGACCAGUACCCGUCUUUGGACUGCACAGCAGCAGGUGAGUAGCAGGCCAGCGAGCAUUACCACCUGAGCUGCGCCUCCUGUCAGUCAAUGAAUGGCUGAGACGUUCACAGGAGCUGGAACCCUACGGUGAACUGUGCAUGUGCGGGAUCCAGGCUCCUUAUGAGAAUCUAAUGCCUGAUGACCUGUCACUGUCUCCCGUCACCCUCAGGUGGAACUGUCUAGGUGCAGGAAAACAAGCUCAGGACUCCCACUGAUUCUACAUGAUAGUGAGUUGCAUAAUUAUUUCAUUAUAUAUUACAAUACUGUAAUAAUAGAAAUGAAGUGCACAAUACAUGUCAUGCGCUUGAAUCAUACCCAGGCUGUGGAAAAUUGUCUCCACAAAACCGGUCCUGGUGCCAAAAAGCCUGGGGACCUCUGCUUUUGAGGAAUAACCCAAACUCUUCCAGAAAACCUCACUUUCCCAUUUUUCUACUUAACUUACCUAAAAUUUUGUAAAUGGCCAAUUCUGUGUACAUGUCAUCCAGUUUAACUGAGCUGAAUCAAGCCAGCUGGGAUCAGCUAUGGUAAGCCUUCGAUGAGGAAUUUGUGUAUUUGUGUUGUAUAAGGAUUUCUAUCAUCCAUUCCAAAGGCUGCUAUAAAUUUGCAAGUCUGAAUUUUAUAUUUUAUGAAAUAAUUUAUACCUAACGAUGCUUCUUUCUUUUUUUUUUUUUGAGACAGAGUCUCACUCUGUCACUCAGGCUGGAAUGCAGUGGUGCCAUCUCAGCUCACUGCAGCCUUGACCUCCCUGCGCUCAAGUGAUCCUUCUUGGGGAGCUGGGAUUACAGCUGCGUACCACCAAGCCCAGUCAAUUUUUGUUUAUUUUUGUAGAAAUGGGUUUCAUCACAUUUCUCAGGCUGGUCUCAGACUCCUAGACUCAAGUCUCCCAAACUGCUGGAAUUACAGGCGUGAGCCACUGUGCCAGGCCUAAAAUGCUCCUUCAAUUACCAUUGGAAUAGCCCAGAUCCACUGAGCCUCCAGGGUUAAUGCCCUUUGCAGAGCAGAUUCCUUGCCUACCGCAAAGGCUGGGCAAUGCUGCAGCCCCUCGAGCUCCUCGGCAUGCCCCAGUAGCCAAGUUAGGAGGUCAAGAUGCAAAGGUGCCCGAUUCUCCCAUGUUCAGGUAACCAGUCUCUUUCUUACAAAAGUGGGUGUGACACGGGUGUCCUCCCUUCCACUCAGCAGAACAAAACCCAAGCCUGCUAGCUCUUUGCCCCAAGCUCUUUGCUAGCUCUUUGCCCCAGUGGGGUUCUGUGGCCGAGCAGGUGCAGCAUGGAACGGAAAUUACAUCUCUGAGAUAUACUGAGCUCCAGAGGAAGCAGUGCAGUUAGAGUGAUCCCAGGCACUGUGCUAGAAUCUGCAACCACUUACUUUCAGUUCUGUUUCACAACCAGAAGAAAACACUUGCUCCUAGUGAUCUUUUACCAUUUAUUUCCCA